CAGUUAGGUCACACACCGCUCAUGGGCGUGAGGGUCAUGGACACAAACUGGGUGGCUCGAAGAGGCUCCUCGGCCGGUCGGAAAGUGUCCUGCGCCCCGCCCUCCAUGCAGCCUCCCGCCCCGCCCGCCGAGCUGGCUGCGCCCCUGCCUUCGCCGCUGCCGGAGCAGCCCCUGGACAGCCCCGCGGCCCCCGCGCUCUCUCCAUCCGGCCUGGGCCUCCAGCCUGGGCCCGAGCGCACCAGCACAACAAAAAGCAAGGAACUUUCUCCAGGGUCUGCACAGAAAGGAAGUCCAGGCUCCAGCCAGGGCACAGCCUGUGCAGGGACUCAACCAGGGGCUCAACCAGGAGCUCAGCCGGGCGCCAGCCCCAGCCCCAGCCAGCCGCCUGCAGACCAGAGUCCUCACACCCUCCGGAAAGACCACUCGCAUUUCUAGGAGCGGCUUUUAACUCCUGGAUUUGUCGAAUAGGGCCCGGGUUUAGCUCAUCCACUUGUGCCUUCAUGACAGGCCCUUUUCCAGCCCCCUUAGUUCCCAUCUGCAGUGGCAGUUUCAUUCUCUU
rnacentral:sRNA from 1 species